rnacentral:rRNA from 1 species
AAAGAUUAGCUAAUACCGCAUACGCCCUGAGGGGGAAAGUAGGGGAUCUUCGGACCUUACGUUAUAAGAGCGGCCGAUAUCUGAUUAGCUAGUUGGUGGGGUAAUGGCCUACCAAGGCUUCGAUCAGUAGCUGGUCUGAGAGGACGACCAGCCACACUGGAACUGAGACACGGUCCAGACUCCUACGGGAGGCAGCAGUGGGGAAUUUUGGACAAUGGGCGAAAGCCUGAUCCAGCCAUUCCGCGUGAGUGAAGAAGGCCUUCGGGUUGUAAAGCUCUUUCGCAAGGGAAGAAAACUUACAUUCUAAUAAAGUGUGAGGCUGACGGUACCUUGAUAAGAAGCACCGGCUAACUACGUGCCAGCAGCCGCGGUAAUACGUAGGGUGCGAGCGCUAAUCGGAAUUACUGGGCGUAAAGCGUGCGCAGGCGGUUUGGCAAGUCAGAUGUGAAAUCCCCGAGCUCAACUUGGGAACUGCGUUUGAAACUGCCAGACUAGAAUAUGUCAGAGGGGGGUAGAAUUCCACGUGUAGCAGUGAAAUGCGUAGAGAUGUGGAGGAAUACCAAUGGCGAAGGCAGCCCCCUGGGAUAAUAUUGACGCUCAUGCACGAAAGCGUGGGGAGCAAACAGGAUUAGAUACCCUGGUAGUCCACGCCCUAAACGAUGUCUACUAGUUGUUGGUGGAGUAAAAUCCAUGAGUAACGCAGCUAACGCGUGAAGUAGACCGCCUGGGGAGUACGGCCGCAAGGUUAAAACUCAAAGGAAUUGACGG